UUCACUCCGCCAUUUUGUGGCAGCCCAUGGAGUCACCCCGCCAUUUUGUGUCGGGCUGUGGGGUCACUCCGCCAUUUUGUGGCAGCCCAUGUAUCACUCUGCCAUUUUAUGGCAAGCCGUGGGGUCACUCCACAAUGUUGUGUCAGGCCAUGGGGUCAUUCCACAAUGUUGUGUCAGCAUUGUGUGUGAAAGUCUGCUUAGAAAGCCCGUGCGUGGAAUGGCAGCAGAGAAGAGCAAGAAGUGCCUGCUUUUUGUGAGGAGGAACACACUGUGCUGUUUCCCCUGCCACAGCCACAGAGCCCUCACCAGCAGUCAUUCACUUCCUUAGCCUGUGAGUGUGCCAAGAUCCAGGAGUUAUCCCAGACCUUGGUCCUUCAGGGGCAAGCCAGCCUGAGGGAUGAAUGAAUACACAUGAGGGAGCAAAGACAAGGCAGGGGAUCAAGCCAGAUGGAAUUGGUAGCAAAGAAGGGAUUGACGUUGACACUGAUGGGAAGGAGAUAGUGCCGUGGUUUGCCCAAAAAUGAGGCAGAACAUUUUCUUUCCUUCUGAGGGAUAUGCAUUGGAAACAGGCAAAGAACAGCUCAGCAAAUGCAUCAGAAAAAGCAGAUGAGCAAUUGAGCCAGUGUUGGUUCACAGCUGUCCAGGGAAUUUCAGGCAAAACAGAUAAUGCCCUAUGUGGAAGGGGCCACAUCCCCCAAGAAGCAGAGGCUCAUCCGAGCAUUCAAAUACCAAACAGAUGGAGAAACCUUUCAAGGGAAUGUACAGAGGGGAAAAAAAAUUGCUGAGGAGUACAAGCUGAGAUUGGGAAGGUGAUGAGAGAAACAACACAACCAGAAUCCUGUCUCCACAACCUGAUGUGAAGAAGAAACCUUACAUCACAGAUCAACUCAUUUUUCUGUCGAUGAUAGAUGAAGGGGAGGACAUACAGCUGUAGGACAAGUACUGAGGGCUGAAGGACAACUAUGUCAACAAGGAAACAAUGCAGGAACGGAGACCUGAAUCAAUAUUCAGUCAGACCCUUUAAUUAUACAGCUCAUUUUUUACUGAUGGAAGUAAAUCCUUGGUUCUGAAGCAACUUGUGCCUAGGGGAAAGGAGUGCAAGAGCCUCUGGUAUUCCCAUUGACAGCAGCUGAUGGGAAGCAUGAUACAGUGAAGAGAGGUAAAACCUUAACCAGUCUGGGAUUCAGGAGCAAUGGAGGCACCCAAGGAGAAGAGAAUAUGAACCUCAGGAGAAGAAAUUGUUUUAGAAACAUCUGUAGAUACAUAUAGAAAGAGAUUUGACCCAUGUUUUUAUCAGGUGAGAGAUCAAAUACAAAAGGAAGUCACUGUGGUAAAGAAUGUAAGGCUGUCAUCAGGCCAUGGAAAAUCUCUUCACAAAUUUCUAUGUUGGAGUUCAGGAACAGAGGAAUGCAAGAUCAAACCAGCUCACAUGCUGCAACACUUAAAGUAGCCUAUUUUAAAAAUAGAAAUCAGAUCUGAUCUCUCUUUGGAAGUAAAGAAAAGUAUUGUGCAGAAAGUUACAAGAAGUUCUGGAUCAGAUUAUGUGGUCAGCAGCCUAAGUGGCUUAAAAUGGUCAAAACUCCAGUAAAAAAAAAAGUCUUUGAAAAGACUGUUCAGACUGCUGUGGGAAUUUGUGUUCAAGUGGUCACAGCAUGACCAGCACCCAGCCCAGAGCAGCUGAAAUGGAGGGCCAGGGCAGCCAGCUGUGGGGUGAAACAUCACUGCCACUGGAGAAUUAAUUAGAGUAUCAGUCAGUGGAAGGUGACACCAAAUUACAGACACUGUGCCGAAGAAAAAGACUCCAAGAGGUUCCUGGCUUUGAGCCCACCUUGGUGGGAGCUGUGUCUCUGUCUGGGAUGCACACAGGAUGUCCACAGAGGCUUGAAGGGAUGGUUCUCAGGGCUGAACCUCUCCUGGGAGUCAGGAAAAACAGAGAGCAGCAGCCUGGCAGCUAAUAAACAGCACGUUACUCUGCAUCUCAUAAAUCUCCACCAAGUUCAUUUAUUCUCCUCUGAGAAUGAAUAACUAAUGAGAAGCCUCCUCUUGCCAGUUACUGUAGCACUACACAGAGCGGGUUGGAUGUGGAGCUGCUAUUAAUAGCACUGAACGAGCUGCUAAUUGGGCAGUUAUGUAAUGGCUUUGUUAUGAAACCUAGUUUGGGUUUGACACCUUCUGUUUGCUAAAAACAACAGUAAAACCCCCAAACAAACCCAGGGUUAGCAGUGCAUGACAUGACAUAAAGGCUGAAUAAUUACCAGUGUUUCAAAACUCAAAUAGAAUUAAAAAGGGGGAAAAAAUCAAUUUGUUUCUCUGAAUUCCAGCAGAAGUGAGCUGGAAGCGAAUCAUACCACAGAUCUGCUGUUCAAAGGGAUACUUCAAAGUAACUUUCUCUAAUACCUGCCCUGCAAAUGCGGACAAAAAUCCUCCAAGCGACCUGUUUCUGCAACUUGUGAAGUCUCAGAAACUAUUUCUUUAAUUUUAAAAGUUGUGCUUUGAAUGAGCACAGACAGAACAUAUUUUAAGGAGAAAGAAGGACCAGAAAUGCCUGUGUGACCCACUCUGGUACAAAUUGUGCACAAGGAUGAGGCAUGAAUCUUUACUCUUGUAAGUGACAAUAGGUAACCUAUACAGUUUGACAUUUUUAAAGUAACUUAAAAAAAAAAAAAGAGAGAGAGAGAGGGACGGGUAGGGAUGACAUUUUGUUCCCUGCUAUACAGAAGGAGAGAAGAUUGCAGUGCAUUAGGAGGGAAGCUUUUAUCCAGGGUGGCCCUUUGGAGUGGCUCUGUCCCUAGUUACUCUGAAGGCUGGGCAUCACUGAUGCAAUUUACAGCCCUGGGAGCUGCUCCUCCUGAUGAAACCCAGCGACUGUGCCCUGCUCGUCAGGUGCUUCUCCUCUGGAGACACCAAACACAGCAGCAUUCAGAGCCUGCAAGAAGGAUCCCUACAGAGGUUUGUAGUUUUAUGUACAGUGUUGUAAUAUACAUAGAAAUGAAAAUGCCUGUCCAGUGAAAUCAACACUGUGCCAGCGGUUGUUUUUGGUCAGUGUUAUCCAUAAUCUUUUGGUGCUGGGGGAGAUCAAGGCUGUCACUCCAGAAGGAGCCCACAGACCAUCCAAAGAACACUUCAUCUGUCUGUUUACAAACACACAUCCUCAUCCUUGUGCAGAGAAGCCCGUGGAAUUUGCCUCCAGCUGAGUCACCUUACAUUUCAGGAAACUGGGCGCAGAUAUUACACUCAGCUCUGCAGAGUUAUUUUCCACUGCUUGUCACUUUACUUUGUCUAGGUAAUGAUAAACCCCCUGGUUUAUCCAGCAUGAUAGAUUAGGAAGGUUUUAUUCCAAUAAAAGAAAACUCCACUUAGUUCCCUCAUUAAUGAAGUGCCCAGAGGAGGCUGGCAAAGGGCUCACAAGGACUGGAUGCACAAUGUCCCAGCACCAUGGUAAUUGCAGCCAGCAUGCCUAAAAAGCUGUGAUAAUUUAGGGUUCAGCGAGUGUUGAAACGAAAAAGACUGGAAAUUGGGUGGUCCAGAUGGCUCCCACAUUUAUCCAGCUAAUUAUCAAGAUGAAGAAUCUCUUGUCCAUUUUAUGUGUGUGUGUAUAUAUAUAUAUGUAUGUGUGACAUAUAUAUGUGUGUGUGUGUAUAUAUGUGCAGAAAUACAUCUAGACACUAUUUACUUCAUUAGGAUAUUUUGGAAUUACCAUGUGGCAAAUAAUAGAAGGAUCUUCUCCUAAAAUAACAUCAGCAAGCUUCCCCACUCCUACACAUGAGCUGAAAGGAGUUUUCUCCUCGGUGCAUGUUUUCACUGGUAGUACAGCUUGCUGGUGUUGUUACUGCUCUUCUGUAGCCUCACGUGUGGGAGCAGCAGGAGGCACCAAGCAGCUCACCAGAGUGUGAUGGUACAUUUACUACAAUUCCCUGUGUAUCCUGCUGAUCCUUGUUUUUCCCAAGAUAAGGCAACCCAAGCCAUCUUGUUGGAAAUGCCUGGAAAUGUUUACAAAGUACUCACCAAAAGCAUUCAGAAGGAAGACUGGGCACAAUUUCAGUGCUGGCAUGCCAGUGUGGGCUCCUGUGUUUCCUGCUUCCCUUGCAGCCCUGGCAGCCUCUGUGGAGUUUGUCAGCCAAGAUCACACUUAGUUCCUCACCUUGAUGAUAUUGAGGCUGUCACAGCCGGCUUUUCCACAUGCAGAUCUUUCUCUUGGGUUUAUGUGGCAAGGUAAUAUUAAAAUGGGUCCUACCAGGCCAGAGAAAUGCACAUAUUUCCCAGAGUCUAUCACCACUGAACCAAAAGUAACAAACCCCUGGGAACUCUGGAAGGAGAAGCGUUUAUCCUUUCUGAGUCAGCCAAUCAUACAGGGUUCAAGACUGGUGCUCAAACUUCCAGAAAUCGUAGAAUCAUGGAAUCACAGAAUGGUUUGGGUUGGAGGGGAUCUCAAAGCUCAUCUCAUUCCAAACUCCUGCCAUGGGCAGGGACACCUUCCAUAGACCAGGUUACUCCAGGCCCCAGGAAACAUUUAAUUCACAGCUUGAAAUAUUUUUUUUUUAGUAAUGUUUAUAUUUCAAAUCCAUGUUAUGAAAGCCAGUAGCAAAAGGUCUUAUUCAUGGAGUGUUACUGACUCUAAUUGCUUGUAAAAAGAACUGUGUAAACAAUGGAAUAUUUUGUUUGCUAAGAAUUCAUUAAAAUUUACUCAGCUCAAAAUAACCAGGACAAGUGCAUUAAAAAGAAAUCACUCUCUUCAAAAGCAUUAUUUUAAAGGUGUAUUCUUAAUUAAGAAUACUUCAAACUAAAAAAAAAAAAAGAGAAGAAAAAUGUAUUCUUUAAAAU